rnacentral:rRNA from 1 species
UGGGGAAUAUUGCACAAUGGAGGAAACUCUGAUGCAGCCAUGCCGCGUGUGUGAAGAAGGCUUUCGGGUUGUAAAGCACUUUCAGCGAGGAGGAAAGGGUGCAGGCUAAUACCCUGUAUCUGUGACGUUACUCGCAGAAGAAGCACCGGCUAACUCCGUGCCAGCAGCCGCGGUAAUACGGAGGGUGCGAGCGUUAAUCGGAAUUACUGGGCGUAAAGCGCGCGUAGGUGGUUAAUUAAGUCAGAUGUGAAAGCCCAGGGCUCAACCUUGGAACUGCAUUUGAACUGAUUAACUAGAGUUUUGUAGAGGGUGGUAGAAUUUCAGGUGUAGCGGUGAAAUGCGUAGAGAUCUGAAGGAAUACCAGUGGCGAAGGCGGCCACCUGGACAGGAACUGACACUGAGGCGCGAAGGCGUGGGGGAGCAAACGGGAUUAGAUACCCCGGUAGUCCACGCAGUAAACGAUGUCUAUUAGAAGUUUGUGGCUAU